rnacentral:rRNA from 1 species
AUUGAACGCUGGCGGCAGGCCUAACACAUGCAAGUCGAACGAGUGGCGGACGGGUGAGUAAGGUAUGGGGAACUGCCUGAUGGAGGGGGAUAAGUACUGGAAACGGUAGCUAAUACCGCAUACCAUCGGAUGUGCCCAGAUGGGAUUAGCUUGUUGGUGGGGUAAAGGCUCACCAAGGCGACGAUCUCUAGCUGGUCUGAGAGGAUGACCAGCCACACUGGAACUGAGACACGGCCCAGACUCCUACGGGAGGCAGCAGUGGGGAAUAUUGCACAAUGGGCGAAAGCCUGAUGCAGCCAUGCCGCGUGUGUGAAGAAGGCCUUCGGGUUGUAAAGUACUUUCAGCGGGGAGGCGUUACCCGCAGAAGAAGCACCGGCUAACUCCGUGCCAGCAGCCGCGGUAAUUC